rnacentral:rRNA from 1 species
CCUACGGGAGGCAGCAGUAGGGAAUCUUCGGCAAUGGACGGAAGUCUGACCCAGCAACGCCGCGUGAGUGAUGACGGUCUUCGGAUCGUUAAGCUCUGUUUUAAGAGAAGAACGAGCGUGAGAGUGUAAAGUUCACACUGUGACGGUAUCUUACCAGAUAGGGACGCCUAACUCCGUCCCCGCAGCCGCGGUAAUACGUAGGUCCCGAGCGUGGUCCGGAUUUAUUGGGCGUAAAGCGAGCGGAGGCGGUUGGUUAAGUCUGAGGUUAAAGGCUGUGGCUUAACCAUGGUACGCUUUGGAAACUGGUUAACUUGAGUGCAAGAGAGGAGAGUGGAAUGCGAGGUGUAGCGGUGAAAUGCGUAGAUAUAUGGAGGAACACCGGUGGCGAAGGCAGCUCUCUGGCUUUUAACUGACGCUGAGGCACGAAAGCGUGGGGAGCAAACAGGAUUAGAUACCCUAGUAGUC